UUACAGAGUCCUGUGCAAAGCUACAUUUC
rnacentral:sRNA from 1 species